rnacentral:misc_RNA from 1 species
AAGAAUUUAAAGAGUGCACUUCAUUGUGGCUCGACAUUUUCUACCAUUCACCCUAGUGCACCGUAAUACCUUUUUUAUUAGACUCUACAAAGUUAAUGAAUGUAACACUUUUUUAUAAAGAAAUAAAACUUUUAACAACGGAUCUCUUGGCUCUCGCAACGAUGAAGAACGCAGCGAAAUGCGAUAAGUAAUGUGAAUUGCAGAAUUCAGUGAAUCAUCGAAUCUUUGAACGCACCUUGCGCCCUUUGGUAUUCCGAAGGGCACACCUGUUUGAGUGUCAUUAAUUCCUCAACCCUACAAUUUUUUCAUUAAUUUUGCUAGUGGUUGGAUGCUGAGCGCUGCUGGACUCCUUCAGUUCAGCUCGCUUUAAAUUGAUGAGCAGGCUCCUAUCUUUUCGGACUGACUCAACGUGAUAAGAAAUUUCGUUGAGGACGCUUCGCGGCGGCCGAACUGUAGGGUAAUGCCGCUACUAGUUGACCCUUAUAUUUUAGACCUCAAAUCAGGUGGGACUACCCGCUGAACUUAAGCAUAUCAAUAAGCGGAGGAAUCGCCAACUUGGUCAUUUAGAGGAAGUAAAAGUCGUAACAAGGCUUCCGUAGGUGAACCUGCGGAAGGAUCAUUACAAGAAACGAGGCCGCGUGCGCUCGCCCGCCCGGCCCCGCUCCUUACCUUGCCUACUGCAACCGUUUGUUGCUUCCUGGCGGCGGACUGCCCGCCGCCAGGGACGUUGAUACAAUCCUGUAUAGAAGCAUUGAAGCUCUGAGAAAACGCGAAAUCGUA